CCUACGGGAGGCAGCAGUGAGGAAUAUUGGUCAAUGGGCGCGAGCCUGAACCAGCCAAGUAGCGUGAAGGAUGACUGCCCUACGGGUUGUAAACUUCUUUUAUAAAGGAAUAAAGUGAGGCACGUGUGCCUUUUUGUAUGUACUUUAUGAAUAAGGAUCGGCUAACUCCGUGCCAGCAGCCGCGGUAAUACGGAGGAUCCGAGCGUUAUCCGGAUUUAUUGGGUUUAAAGGGAGCGGAGAUGGGUUGUUAAGUCAGUUGUGAAAGUUUCGGGCUCAACCGUAAAAUUGCAAUUGAUACUGGCAGUCUUGAGUACAGUAGAGGUAAGCGGAAUUCGUGGUGUAGCGGUGAAAUGCUUAGAUAUCACGAAGAACUCCGAUGGCGAAGGCAGCUUACUAAACUGCAACUGACAUUGAUGCUCGAAAGUGUGGGGAUCAAACAGGAUUAGAUACCCUUGUAGUC
rnacentral:rRNA from 1 species